rnacentral:lncRNA from 1 species
UUGAGCAGUCAUAUUCCAGUAUCACAUUACAUGUCAUUAGUGUUUUACGCUUUUGCCAUCAGAUUACGUUUUUGCCAUCAGAUAAAAUUUAAUAAUGAGUAUUUAACCAGCUCAUAACAACCAUUAAACAUAAAUAAAUGGAAUACACACAAUGCUAAAUAUAUAAAGCUGUGCUUAUUAAUUAAUGGUACAAAAUAUUUCUACAUCUUGACAACUCUUGACAUUGUAUUAAAUUAAACCUCAAGUAGAUGUGGUAAAUAUAUGCAAAUAGAGCUGAAUUUAUAACGGAAUAACUUGGACGAGAUUUAAACGAAUGAAAAGUUGAGUGGAGUUUUGACAGAUACAAAAAUUAGACGACGUGAAACCGAGUUCAGAAUUGGCGAUAGUUGACAGGUAA